rnacentral:rRNA from 1 species
AUGGGGCCGGAAGAUUCACCGGCCGCCGGGGAGAGCUACUCGAAGAUCCUGCAGGGCCGGUACGAGCUUGGCCGCGUGCUCGGCCGGGGUGGAUCGUCCAAAGUCUACCGCGCGCGCGACAUCCGCACCGGCGUCUCCGUCGCCGUCAAGGCCGUCCGGAAGCCGCACCACCCGUGCUCUCCCGAGAAGGCCGCCGCGGCGCGCCGGUCCGUGGAGCGGGAGCUCGCCGCGCUCCGCCGCGUGCAGGGCCACCCGCACGUCAUGCGCCUCCUCGACGUCCUGGCAUCCCGCUCCACCGUCUACCUCGUGCUCGAGCUCGCCCGUGGCGGCACCCUCCUGUCCGUGAUGGACGAACGGGGCCGUUUCGACGAGCCCACGGCGCGCCGCCUGUUCGUCCAGCUGGUCUCCGCGCUGGCGCACGUGCACUCCCGUGGCGUGUUCCACCGCGACGUGAAGCCGGAGAACCUCCUGCUGGACGAGCACGGCGACCUGAAGCUCACGGACUUCGGGCUGUGCGCCCUCGCCGACCGGCACCUCGGUGCCGACGGCCUCGCGGCCACGCGCUGCGGGUCCCCGGCCUACGUCGCGCCGGAGAUCCUCUACAAGAAGCGGUACGACGCCGGCGAAGUGGACGUGUGGUCCUCGGGCGUGGCGCUCUUCUCGCUCACGGCCGGCUACCUGCCGUUCAACGACGGCAACCUCAUGGGCAUGUACCGCAAGAUCUUCUCCGGCAGAUUCCGGUGCCCCAGGUGGUUCUCGCCGGAGCUCCGGGGCCUCGUCGGCCGGAUGCUGGACCCAAACCCCGACAGUCGCAUCAAGAUAGCAGAAAUCAUGGAGCACUCCUGGUUACAACUAGAUGGGACGUCCUCGUUCGGCAACAUCAUCCGAGCUGGUUCCUCUGAUCCUAGGCCGGAGGUGACGAAAUGGGAGGCGGAAAUGGAGCAGGUGAGGGAGCUGAACGCGUUCGACAUAAUAGCGUUGGCGUCCGGAUGCGAUCUGAGCGGGUUGCUUGGGCCAUUGCCGGACCGGGUUCGAUUUGCUGUGGUAGGUGUGGACAUUGGGUCAGUGCUGGAUAAGGCUGAGGAGAUUGGGCGCGAGGACGGGUUUGUGAUGAGGAGGAAGGAAGAGGUAGGGUGUGGUGGGAUCAUGUUUGAGGCGAUCGGGAGGGAGAUCAUCGCCCUGGUGAGGGUUAGUCGAUUGUUAGAGGAAAUGGUGAUGAUCGAGGUGGAAAGAGCUAGCUCAAGUGAGGCACCUAAUCUGUGGAAGAGGCUUCAGCUAGGUCUUAAAUUCUCAAAUAAUUGA